rnacentral:rRNA from 1 species
UACGUAGGGGGCAAGCGUUGUCCGGAUUUACUGGGCGUAAAGCGCGCGUAGGCGGAAGUGUAAGUCUGGCCUGAAAGCCCCCGGCUCAACCGGGGAGGCGGCUGGAAACUGUGCUCUUGAGGGCGAUAGAGGAGUGUGGAAUUCCUGGUGUAGCGGUGAAAUGCGUGAGAGAUCAGGAGGAACACCCGUGGCGAAGGCGGCGACUCUGGGUCGGCCCUGACGCUGAGGCGCCGAAAGCGUGGGGAGCGAACGGG